rnacentral:rRNA from 1 species
AUUGAACGCUGGCGGCAGGCCUAAUACAUGCAAGUCGAACGAGUGGCGGACGGGUGAGUAAUGUCUGGGAAACUGCCUGAUGGAGGGGGAUAACUACUGGAAACGGUAGAUAAUACCGCAUACCAUCGGAUGUGCCCAGAUGGGAUUAGCUAGUAGGUGGGGUAAAGGCUCACCUAGGAGACGAUCCCUAGCUGGUCUGAGAGGAUGACGAGCCACACUGGAACUAAGACACGGUCCAACCUCCUACGGGAGCCGGCAGUGGGAAAUAUUGCACAAUGGGCGCAAGCCGUAUGCAGCCAUGCCGCGUGUAUGAAAAAGGCCUUCGGGUUUAAAAGUACUUUCAGCGGGGAGACGUUACCCGCAGAAGAAGCACCGGCUAACUCCGUGCCAGCAGCCGCGGUAAUUC